UACAAAUGUUUACUACAAUGUUUACUACAAUGUUUACUACAAUAACAAGUUAUCACAUUCUUCCGUUACGUUCCGACCACGACGUGGAAAUACAACACUGUUGUCACUUAUGACAUCAAAAUAUGCUAAAGGUUUUACAACACUGCAUGCAAAAGUGUCAACAGUGUUGUAUUUUUUUGCCGAAGACAAAACCAAACUUUGGAUCUUUUUUAGGAUUUAUAGCUCAGUUAUAGGGAAUAUAAUCUCUACUAGAUUUUAAAAAAUCCCGUACAAAUAUCGCAGAAUUUAGAUAAACGUUUAUGAUGUUUAAGCAACAAAUCCUUAAAUUUUUGAUAUGUUCCAGAAUCUGAAAAUAACAUUUUUUUCUUUAUGUUAUCGGCAAAAAUACGUCUACAAUAGGGUCUACUACCCUGUAGUUUUAAGACAGAGCAUAUCUCAACAUUUGAAUACGCAUUAUUUGUAUUUAAUAUUUAAAAAAAGCAAUUUCAAUGAAACUUGAUUUCUGUAGGAAUCAUUGCUACUUUAUUUCCUUUAUUUUGCUUAUUUUUUCACAUGAGGUUUUGCAGUUUAACUUUCUUCAUGUCGGUUUAUUUGACGUGUAUGCAAAUGAUUUGACAAGUUUAACCUUGACCCAGUUAGUGUUAACGUAUUAUUACUGCAAAAUUAGUAUUUUCUUUGUGAUAACUCAAAAUGCAAAAUAUAACGUUGACUCAUAUAAAGUGUUACUUUUUGAUUUUUUGGAAGUGUUCAGAUUUAUGUUUAAAAAACAGUGUUGCAAUUGAGGAUUUGUGCCGGUUUUAAAAUAAGUAAAGAUUCAUUUUGUAUGACAAAUCUGGCUGAUUUUGAUGAAAUUAACAGCCUGUUCCACGAUGUCGAAAGAACACGUUCGCACAACUUUUACACGACAAACAGCUGAUUUCCGUUCCACUAAAAUCUAUCAGAACGAAAAUUUGCACGAAAAUCAAAGCGAACGAAAACGUAAUCGUUUCAGUGUAAUUUUGCGUUCCACUAUCUUUUUUCUUUCGUACGCAUGCGAACACAAAUGUCAAAAUCAGUCACUUGUGUGUUUGCUGUCGAAUGAUAAAAAUUAAGGAAAAUUGUUUUAACAUAAACAUUCCUUGAUUGAAAAUGGAAAGAAAAAUCACGAAAAAACUACACAGCUGCGGGCACUAGUUGAGUAUAUCCUAAGUUCGCCAGAGGAGUGCCAAUUUUUGGAAGCAGCAGGCAAUCCCAUGAAGACCACUGGAAGACACAAACCUAGAAAAAAUCAUUUUUUUAUUAUUUCAAAAAUGUAAAAAUACAAUCAUACUUACUGGUUGUUAGGUACUUCAAAUAAAUUCGAAGCAUCUCUUAAA